rnacentral:rRNA from 1 species
UACGUAGGGGGCUAGCGUUGUCCGGAUUCAUUGGGCGUAAAGGGUGCGUAGGCGGCGCGGUAAGUCGGGUGUGAAAUCUUGGAGCUUAACUCCGAAACUGCAUUCGAUACUGCCGUGCUUGAGGACUGGAGAGGAGACUGGAAUUUACGGUGUAGCGGUGAAAUGCGUAGAUAUCGUAAGGAAGACCAGUGGCGAAGGCGGGUCUCUGGACAGUUCCUGACGCUGAGGCACGAAGGCCAGGGGAGCAAACGGG